AUUGAACGCUGGCGGCAUGCCUUACACAUGCAAGUCGAACGGCAGCACGGGAGCAAUCCUGGUGGCGAGUGGCGAACGGGUGAGUAAUACAUCGGAACGUGCCCAAUAGUGGGGGAGUAGCCCGGCCGGAAAGACCGGAUUAAUACCGCAUACGACCUACGGGUGGAAAGACGGGGNGUCGCAAGACCUCGCGCUACUGGAGCGGCCGAUGUCGGA
rnacentral:rRNA from 1 species